rnacentral:rRNA from 1 species
GGUUGCGAUCAUACCAGCACUAAUGCACCGGAUCCCAUAAGAACUCCGCAGUUAAGUGUGCUUGGGCGAGAGUAGUACUAGGAUGGGUGACCCCCUGGGAAGUCCUCGUGUUGCAACCC